ACUCCCAGGUGCUGGAUCUGACUGGAAGGGUGAUGUUUGGCCCUGUUUACCAGGAAACCAAUGUUCCAAGAGCGUUUGAAGAGUGUUGUGCAUGUCCAACUUUGCAGUUGGAAAGAAGGGAGAGUUUAUCAGGAGAAUGUCUAAGUCAACGAAUACUCAAAUUCCCUUCAGGUGGGCCACAAGAGGGGCCAGAAUCUUUGUGAAGAUCCUGGGUGCUGAGGAAAGAGCGGACCCUGUAAUGGUAGUGACAACCUGUGUAUCUGAAGCGAAGGAAUGAACGACUCACCAGAUGAAUCAGCAAAUGUAGAGAGAGGUGUCCUUGUCCUGAGGGAGGAUGGCGCCAGACAAGACCACCCACAGGUGCCUUCGUGGGGGAAAUCUGGAACAUGUCCGAAGCUUCCUGAGGGAGCUGGACAAGGAAGAGGGCGAAGAGAAGGAUUCCCUGCCCCAUUUUCUAGAGGCUCUAAGCUUGUUUGUGCUGCUGGAGCAACUUAUUAAGUACCCAUUGGAACCAGGCCUGUUGGGACUCUGUUAAAAUAGGAGGUAUGGGGGUAGAAGGCAGAACGGAGAGCAGGAGGGAGUGGGCGGGAAGGCCCAAGUUCUGCUGGUACAUCUAGGUCUCGUGGUACUGGUUCUGGUGGUCCACUUCCUGCCUUGAACUCACUGGUUGGGUCAGCUGGGAAGGAUCCCAUUCCCGUCAUCGUCAGGCCGUUCUAGGUCAUUCUCAUGGGGUUUUUCUGGCAGCAUUGGGACUUUGCCACUGGGCAGCUUUGGCAUCAGAGAAACAGUCUUGCUGGGAGGCCUCUGUUGCUGGUCCACUCAGGGAUGGGAAACUCAAGCGGUGGGUAAGGAGGUGUGGCCAAGGGAGGCAAGUCUGCUCGGCAUGGAUGUUUGGGAGGCCGCAUGGUAGGCAGAACAGGGCCUUGCGCCAGUGGAGAGGACUGGUUGUUUCUGGGUCCUAGGCAUGGAGUAAAUGGGCCCAAUGGGCCUUCCAGUGGAUCCAUGCUGCCUCUGGUAUCAGAGGGCACCAGCGAGGUUCAGGUGGUCAUCGGUGUGCUAGCGGCAGUUGAGCAGGUCGCUACUGUAUGCUAAUAAGGUCUCCUUGGAGGAGGGAAGGUUUUCUUUCCCUUGGGGAGAAGGAUAUUUCUAAUUUUUCCAGGCAUCUGGGCCAUAGAGAGCCAAGAGACAGAAAGGAAGACAGAUAGGGGUGUGUGUGUAUGUGUAUAUAUACAGAGAGAGAGAGAGAGAGGACUCUGUGUAUGUAUAAAUAAGCAAAGAUGGUAAGAAAACACUGAGAAAUGUAUAGGAUAGUGAAGAAUAGAAGGCUUGGAUAGGAUUUUAAAAGGCUGUAUCUGGAGGAGGAUGCAGGACUAGAACUGGGUGGGGUUCUUUUACAGGCUCUUAAAAAAUUACAUAAUUUACAUAGUCCUGCCCUCUGGAACACAUGGGAAGGCUAACACACCUGAGAUGUCCUCAUCCAGCAGCAACAAAUGGACUUCAUAGCAUAUUUUGCCCUAUUCCUGCUGUUUUCCAAGUUAAAUCAUCUACAAAACCUUCAGCUUAUUUGAAGCAAACAACUAUUAGUGUUCACAAAGCACAUCAAACUCCUACUGUUAUAAACUCAGUAUCUGAGUUUAUAACAUCCUUGCUAAAUACAGUGCAGGAAUUUAUAUUUUAAAUAUCAAAAUAGAUUAAGGCUUCUCAAACUCUGUUUAAUGACCACCCUAAGUGAAGUGGAGAGAGAAAAGUGAAAAGUAGUACUCUAAUAGUAGUAUUCAGAGGACUGGGGACCAAGGGGUAAUCUAGGAGAAAAGGUAACUAGCAGGCCAUGCACACACACAGAAACAAGAUCCUUAAGGCAGGGGUUUCCAAUGCUGUGGUACUCCAGAUAUUGAACUAGAACUCUCAUCAUCCCAGGAACAAUUUAUUGUAGCUGGGAAUGGUGGGAGCUGGUUCAGUAACAUCUACUAUAUCACAGGUGCUUUAUGCUUUAAAGCAUAACGCACAAAGAAUACAAGGCUGUUGUCACUGUUCCCAUUGUACACAUAGUUCAUGCAGCCAACACCAUUCUGAGGGGAUAAUAUGGCAUUGUCCUCGUCCCCUGACCUGAUCAAGACUAGGGAUGUGCACGGACCAGUCCAGAGCCCAUUCUAAGGGCCUCCGGACCAGUCCAGACCUGGGGCCAGUUCAGCGCCGGGGGUGGACCUUUAAGGGCAGGGGAGCGUGUACUUACCCCUUCAUUUCCCCCUCCAGCGC